rnacentral:rRNA from 1 species
UGGGGAAUAUUGGACAAUGGGCGCAAGCCUGAUCCAGCAAUGCCGCGUGAGUGAUGAAGGCCUUAGGGUUGUAAAGCUCUUUCGCACGCGACGAUGAUGACGGUAGCGUGAGAAGAAGCCCCGGCUAACUUCGUGCCAGCAGCCGCGGUAAUACGAAGGGGGCUAGCGUUGUUCGGAAUUACUGGGCGUAAAGGGCGCGUAGGCGGCCUGUUUAGUCAGAAGUGAAAGCCCCGGGCUCAACCUGGGAAUAGCUUUUGAUACUGGCAGGCUUGAGUUCCGGAGAGGAUGGUGGAAUUCCCAGUGUAGAGAUGAAAUUCGUAGAUAUUGGGAAGAACACCGGUGGCGAAGGCGGCCAUCUGGACGGACACUGACGCUGAGGCGCGAAAGCGUGGGGAGCAAACAGGAUUAGAUACCCCUGGUAGUCCACGCCGUAAACGAUGAAUGCUAGACGUCGGGGUGCAUGCACUUCGGUGUCGCCGCUAACGCAUUAAGCAUUCCGCCUGGGG